rnacentral:rRNA from 1 species
CACGUAGGGCGCAAGCGUUGUCCGGAAUUAUUGGGCGUAAAGAGCUCGUAGGCGGUCUGUUGCGUCCGCUGUGAAAACUCGGGGCUUAACCCCGAACUUGCAGUGGGUACGGGCAGACUAGAGUGUGGUAGGGGAGACUGGAAUUCCUGGUGUAGCGGUGAAAUGCGCAGAUAUCAGGAGGAACACCGAUGGCGAAGGCAGGUCUCUGGGCCAUAACUGACGCUGAGAAGCGAAAGCAUGGGGAGCGAACAGG